CAGGAUGAAGUUGGAGUGCACCUUGCCAUGAGCACUCCCUAUUGGCGUUUGCCUUGCCAUUUCUCAAUUUUGUCAAGGGCAAACUCUACCUGGCCUUGAGGGACCAUUUCUGGAGGUAAAUCUGCCUGAGGCAAAUCCAGGCAGCACUUCAACUUCCUGCACACUUUUUUGUCUUGGUUGGUUGGUUUUUCCAUGUUUUGUUUUAAACUCACCUUGUUUGGUUUUUUGUUUCUCUCUUUUUUUUUUUUUUCAAUUGGGAAAGGUAUCAGGAGGCAUGGGGAGACUGAGAAAGCACUUUGGAAGUGAUCCCCACACUUUAUUCUUUAGCCUGUGGAAGUAAUGGGGACUUAGACCUCCAUUAGAGAUUUAAUAGCAGGAUGAGACAAAAGGAUACGCAGCAGGCCUGAAAGGUCCUUCCUCUCCUGAGUUGUCCCCAUCAAGUCAAUGGGUAAAUGUCUGUGGAAGAGGACCACACUGAAGUUCUGUUGGCCUGAACUGAGUGGACCGGUCGCAACUGAAGGUCAGAAUCAUUUUCCUGCCAACUCUAACCAUCCAGAGCUGUAGGUCAAACAAACGGCUUUGUGCUGUGCGCCAAAUGUAGACUGAUAUGGAGCCUUUGAAGUAAGAAAUGUGAGCUGUCUUCUCCCCACAGAUUUUGGUCCUCCUGAUAAGUGGAUGCACAACUGACACACCACUCUUUGACCCAUUUAUGAGCACUUCACUGCUGUAUUAGCUUUACGGUAAUUCUCAGAAAUUAGGGGAAUACUUAUCAAAAGUAUAGAAAACUUUGAAUAGAGAAAGCAGAAUAAAACAAGUUUUACAGA